UGGGUAACCUGCCUCAAAGAGGGGAAUAGCCUCCCGAAAGGGAGAUUAAUACCGCAUAAUAUGUUUUAAUCGCAUGAUUUUAACACCAAAGGAUUUUCUUCGGAACUUCCACUUUGAGAUGGACCCGCGGCGCAUUAGCUAGUUGGUGAGGUAACGGCUCACCAAGGCAACGAUGCGUAGCCGACCUGAGAGGGUGAUCGGCCACAUUGGAACUGAGACACGGUCCAGACCUCCGUACGGGAGCAG
rnacentral:rRNA from 1 species